CUCAGCGGAGUAGGGGCUGUGAGAGAUUUGAGAAAGGGCGAAUCAAAGUUGGAUCCCGUGGCCAAUCUCAAGGCGUAGAUGAUGAGAGCUCCUCGCAUCCGUCCAACUCACUACAUACUCACGGGUUGAAUUUGUGAACUUUGACAUCAAAACAGUCAUCAUGGAAAUCAAGAGGGGGAAGAGAAUGCGGCCACUAGAGUACCUGGUCAAUAUAAUGGAUAACCUGUGGAUUGGAUCUGAGGACCUCCCCGACCCUUCACCGAAUGCGAACACAUACGGCCUGUCUGAUUGGUCCAGAAACUGAUGGGUUGGGGCAGAGCCAGAACACUCGUGGGUAAAGUGCCGUUUUGAAAACAUUGGCUUUGAUACUCUGAUUGGUUAGAGAUUAUCCAAUCGCUGAUGACUUUGAUUUGUACAACACCACUCGUGCCUCUCGUCACCACAAAUUACGUCAAUGAUGGCAGUCUCAGACUAAAGUAUGUAUCGAAAGACAGCGCAGCAGAAUCUUUGUUGUUGUUUUACUUCCUGAAUUAAAAAUGUAUUACAUUUAGAUUUUUUUUGUCACUGGCCUACACACAA